rnacentral:rRNA from 1 species
UACAGAGGUGGCAAGCGUUGUUCGGAAUUACUGGGCGUAAAGGGCGCGUAGGCGGUUCGUUAAGUCCUGUGUGAAAUCCCCCGGCUCAACUGGGGAACUGCACAGGAAACUAGCGGGCUUGAGUUCGGGAGAGGGAAGCGGAAUUCCGGGUGUAGCGGUGAAAUGCGUAGAUAUCUGGAGGAACACCGGUGGCGAAGGCGGCAUCCUGGACCAAUACUGACACUGAGGAGCGAAAGCCAGGGGAGCAAACGGG